rnacentral:lncRNA from 1 species
CUCGCUUUAAGUAGUUUUUUAAAAUGUGAUUAAAAAAUUGAGCUUAAAGUCUUAAAAAGAGUUUAAAUUUACAUAACUUACUAAAAUACAACACAAAUUACAACAUCGCUUAAAAUACUUUGACAUUCAUCAUCUCAUUCUUCAUAUACAUACAAAUACAUCUAGCAUGCAAUCUCAUAAAACAUAAUACAUAUACAUAUCAUUAAAACGUAACCGUGCAAUACAUACAUAACUUUCGAGGACUUGUCCACUUCUAAACUCGCAGCUAGAGUAUACAAUUUCUAAAAGCCCUAAUCGAGUCCAAGCUUGGUAAAAAGGCUUUUCUAUCAAUUAAUGUAAUCUGGCCAUCUAGGUUGCCACUUGCCACCCACACUAGGCAUCAAUGCAAAUCUACAAAGACUGACUAGCUUAAGUCAGUAAACCACCAGCUAGCAUAACCAAUCAUACUCCUCCUCUUAAACCAAUACAUACUUUGACAUUCAUCAUCUCAUUCUUCAUAUACAUACAAAUACAUCUAGCAUGAAAUCUCAUAAAACAUAAUACAUAUACACAUCAUUAAAACAUAACCGUGCAAUACCAUCCAUGAGCCUUAAAUGGGCAGCUCGGCUCAUUUAGUUGACCGGAACCAACGCUAAUCCCUCAACCUGCAACAAAAGUAACAUCUAUGUAAUCAUAGAGAUUGGCUUUGACGAGUCGAGUCAGGUACUUGAGCGGCUCAACUCGGCUCGAGGAUUACAUAGGAGAAGAAAAGAAGAAAGGGUGAGUCAACAGUUCAUAAAGAAUGAAGACUCCCCCGAGGGUUUUCGCAAUGAGCCAAACUUUUAUUUUUUUGAGCAUUUACGAGAAAAUUCAAUUAUAAACUAAACUUGAUUUUCAAAUUUGGGAAAUUAAUACUACGCAUAAAUAAAAGAAAUACAAAUACAAAGACAAACUUAAAAGAGAGAUCAACAAAGAAUGUAAUCGCUUACAAUAUCAGCCACUCAAUUCCAUAAAAAUAUUAUUCUUUCAUUUAUUACACUCAGUGACAAACUUUGACAUUCAUGGCUGAUGAAGUAAACAACACAUUCAUAAAGCAAUUUAAAUCAUUAUAUAACUGUGAAUGUAUGCAUAUGCUCCAAAAAUAUGUUUGGAUACAUAUACAUAUGAACCAUCUAAUGCACAUCUUGUACCAAAUAAAAUUCAUAAAACAUCAUAUGCAAUCCAGCUGUAAACGUAUACGUAAGUUCUUCCCCUUUGAGAAUCUUAUGCAUACCCAUACAUCUAGCAUGACAUAAUAAAUCAUCAAUAGUGGGCCCAGCCCUGUCAUUUGAUAAUAGUGAGCCCAGCUCUGUCAUUUGAUCCAUUCAUACAUUUACAUCUUUUCAUCUUUUCAGCACCGAAAUACAUACAUAACUUUCGAGGACUUGUCCAUGUUUCAACAACAGCAUUUAAAUCAAUCUUCCUUCAUCAUAAUCUCAAAAUCUCAAAGCAACAAAGUAAUCAAUACAUCAUAGCAUUUCUUUCAUAUCUUAAAACUUUCAUAAAGCAUGCUCAAACAACAUAUGAAUGGCUCGACUUUUUCAUAACUUUAAAGAAACUUUAAAGGGCUUGCCCUCCGAGAAUUGUCUCGAACUGAUGCUGAGGACUUGUCCCACUCAUUUAAUCUAUUCAUACAAUUACAUCUUUUCAUCUUUUCAGCACCGAGGGCUUGCCCUCCGAGAAUUGUCUCGAAUUGAUGCUGGGGACUUGUCCCACUCAUUUAAUCUUUUCAUACAAUUACAUCUUUUCAUCUUUUCAGCACCGAGGGCUUGCCCUCCGAGAAUUGUCUUGAACUGAUGCUGGGGACUUGUCCCACUCAUUUAAUCUAUUCAUUCAUUUACAUAUAAAUCAUCAAUAGUGGGCCCAGCCCUGUCAUUUGAUAAUAGUGAGCCCAGCUCUGUCAUUUGAUAAUAGUGAGCCCAGCUCUGUUCAUGCUCAUUUCAAUGUACUUACAAAUCUUACAUCUAGCAUGAAAUCUCAUAAAACAUAAUACAUAUACACAUCAUUAAAACAUAACCGUGCAAUACAUACAACAAUCCCUCUUAAACCAAUACAUACUUUGACAUUCAUCAUCUCAUUCUUCAUAUACAUACAAACUUUGACAUUCAUCAUCUCAUUCUUCAUAUACAUACAAAUACAUCUAGCAUGCAAUCUCCAAUCACAACCACAAUAUCAAUCAUAUCUCAUCAAAUAUCUCAUAAAACAUUGAAAGUAUCAAGUAGUAAAUAAAACAUAAUACAUAUACAUAUCAUUAAAACGUAACCGUGCGACAUUAAAAUUCUGCUCUUUCUCAACUUGUUUAGCAUCUUUAAAAUAUCUAAAAUCAUUGAUAAAAUUCUUUGAAAACAUAAAACGUAUUCGUCCUCAGUGAGUAAAAGAUUACUCACCUUAAGAGACCAUGAGGGAUUCACAACUAAGGCGCUCAAGCUUGCUUACUCUCGCAAUAUGCUUCCACGAUCCAAUUACCUUGUACUACAUUGGAGUACUAGCUUUAGUCUCCAAUCUCAUGUAACAUACCUCUUCUUCUUCUCAAUUUUCUGCAUCUCUCUCUCUCACGGCAUCAUCUCUCUCUCUCUCUCUCGGUCUAGGACAGCAUGAACGAAGAAACAGGGAGAAG